UUAUAAGAAUGACAACAUUGUUAUUGUCAUUUUCACUAUAAGAUGCUUGUGGUUAUAUUAGAAGCAGUGAAAAAUUAUAUUCAUUGUUCGUUUAUCCUAUUUUACAAUUAUUAAUUUUGAACCAUUCUAUAAACUAUUGUAUGGUUCUACUUGUUACAUUGUUAGUAGAUUGGCCUGUAAAUUAAAGAAAAUUGACGUUUAUCUGGAUACUACCGAAAUAUCGACAAAUGAAAUUGUGUGCAAUGAUGCAGUCAUUGUCGUGUUUGGUUCUUCCUGUACUUCAAUUUGCUUUUUGCUGUUUGUUCUUCCCCAUAGAUACCUUUCUUUUCAUUACGUUGAAAUGGUCGAAACAUUUGGUAGUUUAUUGAGGAAUAUUAUCAAAAGAGUUGGACAUUGAUUGAAGCAAUCCUUUCAAUUCAUCCUAGAUGUUCCAAUGUCUUUUAUCUAUCUAAAACAUAAACAAAUGUACUUGAACCAUUCUUCUGCGGAUUUUUCUUUUACUAUUUGGAGUUGUUGACCAAGAGGGUAGACUUUACAAUAUUGCUAUUCCAAAGUUGUUCCAUCCAAAUGCAUUGAUAAG